AUGAAUUUGAGGUGGAUCGAAGCCCAGAAGACUAGCUAUCUCGACGCCGAUGCGCCCGUCGAACAUGUAUUACUAGUAACCAAGAAAGAAAUUUCCCUCGAAAAAAAAAUGCGGCGAGAAAACAGAGGAGAACACAGGAGAAGAGAAGAGGAUGUGGGCAGAGCAAGAGGGCGACCGGCGGGAUGUGUUGACCGUGAAACCGCGUGCGCGGGGGUUUCUCACUCAGUCACUGGCUCUAAUUCUAUACCUGCUUACAGAAGCUCAAGCUUAUUGUACUUGCUCCUGCCAACAGGAUCAAUUGGUCGCCUAAUCUGA
rnacentral:rRNA from 1 species